CAGGUGAGUUUUAUACAUACAGAGUAGCAUUCUGUUUGUGAGAUGUGGCGUAAGUGAUGUUAUGGGUAUAGGCCUAUGAAAUGCUUUGAUUAAGCUCCAUUAUGUGUCUUUCAUAUUUGAUGGAAAACCAUAUCUAUUAAGGCAUUAGGGAAGACAGGUCAGAUGUUAGGUACGGACUAGGGAGGGUACAGGUAGAGGAAGACAGGUCAGAUGUUAGGUACGGACUAGGGAGGGUACAGGAAGACAGGUCAGAUGUUAGGUACGGACUAGGGAGGGUACGGGUAGAGGAAGACAGGUCAGAUGUUAGGUUCGGACUAGGGAGGGUACAGGUAGAGGAAGACAGGUCAGAUGUUAGGUACGGACUAGGGAGGGUACAGGAAGACAGGUCAGAUGUUAGGUACGGACUAGGGAGGGUACAGGUAGAGGAAGACAGGUCAGAUGUUAGGUACGGACUAGGGAGGGUACAGGAAGACAGGUCAGAUGUUAGGUACGGUCUAGGGAGG
ensembl:lncRNA